UUUUUUUCCUGUAGCUCAGUCCAUAUCGUAAACUUGGAUAUGUAUGAUAGCUCGUUUCGAAGCUGUGACAUUUUCACAUAUGUGGUUAAAUUUUCGGGGUACGAAGUGAGAUUACUUUUUCCGUAAAUUAGCAAACCCCAAACAUCCUUUUGUUAUGCGGCUCCUUGUGGUAAAAUAUUCCCUUUUUAACACAAUAAGUUCUUUGAAAAUUAAAUACUUUGAACAAAUUCAAUAGCUCCAUAGUUUUUACACAUUUAUUCUAUGUUCCUCUACUUUCCUAAUCACCACAAAUAAUUAAGUUCAGUCAUUUGUUAAAAAU
rnacentral:lncRNA from 1 species